UAAUAUGAUCAAAAUCGACCCGUCCACAUCCCUAAAAAUCCACACAUACACAUUUUUACGCACAUAUACAAAGCAGUAUAACCACCAAAAUGGCUACGGCUUGAGUAUUCAAAUUUGUAUUGAGAAAAGGCAACUAUAUCCUGUCUUUAUUUGCCCCUCUAUCGCUCGAAUAUGCAAUACGCAUGCACUCUUCGUCAAAAUCGGUUUCAAACUUUUUCGACUGAGUACGCGCAAUAAACGCCUAGUAGUAGUAUUUAAAUGUUUACCGUAUUCAUUUAAAGCAUCGUAGGACAAUGCCGCUAUGUAAACUGUAAGGUGGGUCUUAAAUUAGUGUGAGUUAUUUUGGCACCGGACUCAACCUUCACGUUACAAUAUUUAAAGUAUUGCGCUGUCAUAGUAACGAAAAUGAUAAACACGUCAAUCGGAGUAAACAAGUAACUAAAUGAUGCAAACAAGAAAAUAUUGCAAAAUAGGUACAUAUAUAUGUACCGAUAAUUAUUUUGUGUUAAAAAUAUGAGGCAAAUUAUACUGCCCGAUUAUACGGACUACAUAUUAAAAACGAUUAUCUUGGAAACAGUCAAUAGAUGUCGAACCACCAGCAAAGUUUUUGAAGAGGUGUAGUUCCUGGUAUCAACUGGAAACUGAAACUAAUAAUCUACACUCAAGAAAAUGAAAUAUAGUCACAGAAAACUUUAAUGUUUUAUUUUAUUAAAGAAAAACGUUAAAAAAAUGUGUAAACAGAAA